GAUUGCGUCACACCGAUCGGAUGUUCUCCCGAUGACGUAUUGAUUGCAUAAUUAAUCCGUAGGAGAUUUAAAGAAACAGUAACCGAAUUCAAGCUAUUGUUGACAUGAAGACAGCCUGUUUUAACACGCAGCCACGAACCUCGACCGAACCAGCCACCCUGCAAGGAUGAGG